rnacentral:rRNA from 1 species
UACGUAGGGUGCGAGCGUUAAUCGGAAUUACUGGGCGUAAAGCGUGCGCAGGCGGCGGCUCAAGUCAGGUGUGAAAAUCCCCCGGGCUUAACCUGGGAAUUGCGCUUGAAACUAGGUCGCUAGAGUGUGGCAGAGGGGGGGUGGAAUUCCACGUGUAGCAGUGAAAUGCGUAGAGAUGUGGAGGAACACCGAUGGCGAAGGCAGCCCCCUGGGUCAACACUGACGCUCAUGCACGAAGCGUGGGGAGCAACAGG